rnacentral:misc_RNA from 1 species
GAUGAAGAACGCAGCGAAAUGCGAUAAGUAAUGUGAAUUGCAGAAUUCAGUGAAUCAUCGAAUCUUUGAACGCACAUUGCGCCCGCCAGUAUUCUGGCGGGCAUGCCUGUUCGAGCGUCAUUACAACCCUCAGGCCCCCGGGCCUGGCGUUGGGGAUCGGCGGAAGCCCCCUGCGGGCACAACGCCGUCCCCCAAAUACAGUGGCGGUCCCGCCGCAGCUUCCAUUGCGUAGUAGCUAACACCUCGCAACUGGAGAGCGGCGCGGCCACGCCGUAAAACACCCAACUUCUGAAUGUUGACCUCGAAUCAGGUAGGAAUACACGCUGAACUUAAGCAUAUCAAUAAGCGGAGGA